GCUGCUCCAAAGAAGCCACAUCCUGGAAGGUCCUGUAAUCCUGAUGGAGAAGAGGAGAAGCCAGGCUAACUCCAGGGACUAGAUACAAGACAGCUCCUCCUUCUGCUUUUUGACUUAACUCUGGCUUCUUCAGAGGAAAGGCCUUUUUCCCUGCUUACAUCAUCAACAAUCCUAGCCAAGAGAAGAUCUUUCAUUCAUAUCGGAUCUGUGAUAAUGCAGAACGGAGGAGCUUCCUCAUUGUAGUAAGAUCUGUGAUGCCAGAGAGGGGAGGAAGCUGAUUUCUUUGGAGACAUUGAGUGCCCUCCUAUGAAAUGUUUCUUCCGCCAUUGUAACUGAACUGACAAAGGACAGUACCAGAACAUGCAUAAGAAUAUUCAGUAAUUAAUCUUUGGAGACACCUAUGCAAUGGAUCCAAUUCAAGAUAAGCACUGAACCUGAGCUAAAAGGUGACUGAACAUGGAAGUUAUGGACAUUCCCAAUGGCGGAUUCUUCACUGGUCCUGUCCUAUAGCCCAGGAAAGAGCUUGGACAAAGCCACUGCAAUGAUUUCUUAGUGAAGACCAGAAAAUCCUUCUUCUUCAGCUUCUCAAAUGCAUCUGAGGGCCUCUGUGUGUACUUCUAGGACAGAAUUCUGUGAAGCUCAGCGAGUAUUUGUCAUGUGGAUGGGCCCUGCAUGAGAGGUGUACAGCACUGGGAAAGUGAAAUAGAAAGAACUAUAUGACAAAGGAGUUCUGACACGGUCUUUCCAAGACAGGUGCCCAUCAUUCCACAGUGUUCCUCAUUGGGGAACACAGGCUAUCUGGCUGUGCAGCUUCGGUGUGCUGAGGUCUGCACACAGUUCAGUCACCUGUCCUCAAUCACAUGGAGAAUUGAGGUUCCCAAUGCCAGGGCAGCUGCUCUCUGGACAUCGUUCUUCCUGAUGGAUUUACUGACCCCCAGGCAGCCUCACUGGGUUUCUCUGGUGGCUCAAACUGGAAAGAAUCUGCCUGCAAUACAGGAGACCUGGGUUCGAUCGCUGGGUCAGGAAGAUCCCCUGGAGAAGGGAAUGGCAACCCACUCCAGGAUUGUUGCUUGGUGAAUCCCAUGGACAGAGGAGCUGUGGACUACAGUCCAUGGGGUCACAAAGAGUGGGACAUGACUGAGCCUCCCUCAGGCAGCCUCAUUACUUUUUGGUGACACACUUUGAGCUUUCCACCAACCAUUGUGGCUGGAGGUCAUCCAUGCCUUUCUACCAGACUCUAGCUCUGUAAGCUUUGAAGGUGGACACUUGCUCUCCCUGGAUCUUCUCCAAAUGCUCCAGGGCCUGCUGGUGUUCGUUCUGGACCUCUCAUCCCCUGGCAAGCAUUCGCUUCAUCCAUCAAAAAAAAUCCGGGAUAGCAGAGCACCCUGAGGACUUGCUUUAACAAUGUCUGUGUUGGUCUUUGCCAGCUUUGUGCUGUUAUUUGGCUAUGCACGUUAGUAAGGAUGGUCCAAACCCAAAUCUGAUCAUGCCUGAGAGAUGAAGAUGAAUCUCUCCCAUAUAAUUUUUCACCUUUGCCCCCACCCCAUGUGUCCUGGAGGCUUUGGAGUCAGAGGGUUUGUUCAUUCUUGGCUGGAACUAGGAGGGCCCUUGUACAGAUGCAGCUGGUGAGUCUAACUUGGUCUUGAACUCCGACACCCCACAUCCCCACCAUUAUUCUUCUGUCCUGGACUUGGGGGGCAGCUCUUUGUGGGCUAAAUUCAGGCCAGUGGCAGGGACCAGGUGACAUUUCUUUUCAGGCUGGAAAAGCCUUGUCUUAACUGACAAAGUACCCGUGUUUGCCAAAGCCUUAGGCAUGAAAAUGGAUGCUAAUUUAUUCUCCCCAGCCUCAAAGGCAAGGACAGUCUCUUGCAUCCAGAAAGUUUCCCUGAUGCCAGUACUCCUGGCCACGUCUCUCCAUAAAUACAGUCAUUAGUGGCAUCUUAAAAAAUGGUGAUGACU
ensembl:lncRNA